GGCCUCAAAUCAGACAAGAGUACCCGCUGAACUUAAGCAUAUCAAUAAGCGGAGGAAAAGAAACUAACAAGGAUUCCCCUAGUAACGGCGAGUGAAGCGGGAACAGCUCAAAUUUUAAAUCUGGCUGCUUUGCAGUCCGAGUUGUAGUUUGAAGGAGUCUGUCGCUCUUCGGGACAAUGGCACAAGUCUUUUGGAACAUUGCAUCAUAGAGGGUGAGAAUCCCGUCUUUGGCCAUCGUACCAGGAGCACACGGCAGGCAUCCGAAGAGUCGAGUUGUUUGGGAUUGCAGCUCCAAAUGGGUGGUAAACUCCAAUCUAAGGCUAAAUAUCUGCGAGAGACCGAUAGCGAACAAGUACCGUGAGGGAAAGAUGAAAAGAACUUUGAAAAGAGAGUAAAACAGUACGUGAAAUUGUUGAAAGGGAAACGAUUGAAGUCAGUCGUGCCGGCGGGGAUUCAGCGAAUUCCGUGGAAUGAGCGUACUUCCUCGCAUGGCAGGUCAGCGUCAGUUUCGCGCGUCGUGAAAUGGUUCUGGUAAGGUAGCUCUCUUCGGGGAGUGUUAUAGACCGGAGCAGAUGCGGGGGUGCGAGACUGAGGAUUGCAGCGAACACCCUUCGGGGCGCGGCAUCGGGUCUCUGUUCUGUCACCUGUGUCCGAUAGCGUGCUAACGGAUGUGGGAGCGGCGGUUCACCGGACUGGAAUGGCAGCGGUUCGCUUAGGACGCUGACGUAAUGGCUUUAAACGACCCGUCUUGAAACACGGACCAAGGAGUCUAGCAUAUAUGCGAGUGUU
rnacentral:rRNA from 1 species